rnacentral:tRNA from 2 species
GCCGCCUUAGCUCAGUUGGUUAGAGCGCUUGAUUGUGGAUCAAGAGGUCCCCCGUUCGAACCGGGGAGGUGGUACCA